GAUGAACGCUGGCGGCGUGCCUAAUACAUGCAAGUCGAGCGAACAGACGAGGAGCUUGCUCCUCUGACGUUAGCGGCGGACGGGUGAGUAACACGUGGAUAACCUACCUAUAAGACUGGGAUAACUUCGGGAAACCGGAGCCAAUACCGGAUAAUAUAUUGAACCGCAUGGUUCAAUAGUGAAAGACGGUUUUGCUGUCACUUAUAGAUGGAUCCGCGCCGCAUUAGCUAGUUGGUAAGGUAACGGCUUACCAAGGCAACGAUGCGUAGCCGACCUGAGAGGGUGAUCGGCCACACUGGAACGGAGACACGGUCCAGACUCCUACGGGAGGCAGCAGGAGGGAAUCUUCCGCAAGGGGCGAAAGCCUGACGGAGCAACGCCGCUUGAGUGAUGAAGGUCUUCGGAUCGUAAAACUCUGUUAUUAGGGAAGAACAAAUGUGUAAGUAACUAUGCACGUCUUGACGGUACCUAAGCAGAAAGCCACGGCUAACUACUU
rnacentral:rRNA from 1 species